rnacentral:rRNA from 1 species
AAAGCAGUCGCCACGAUAAUACGGAGGAUCCAAGCGUUAUCCGGAAUCAUUGGGUUUAAAGGGUCCGUAGGCGGUCUUGUAAGUCAGUGGUGAAAGCCCAUCGCUCAACGGUGGAACGGCCAUUGAUACUGCAGGACUUGAAUUAUUGGGAAGUAACUAGAAUAUGUAGUGUAGCGGUGAAAUGCUUAGAGAUUACAUGGAAUACCAAUUGCGAAGGCAGGUUACUACCAAUUGAUUGACGCUGAUGGACGAAAGCGUGGGUAGCGAACAGGAUUAGAUACCCCAGUAGUCCCUGUCUCUUAUAC